AAUCAGCCGCCGUCGCAAGACCUUCCACAGCUAGACCUUGACGGCGCCAGCCGUAUGGACAUCCAGCUCAACGAUCUUUCAAAAUGGUUAUUCAUGUCUGGUUGCGUCUGGCGGGCAACGCGCGGCAAGUCGUGCCACCUAUAAUUGAAGCAUCGUUCAUGGUCAGGCUAGAACUACAUAAUAUUGUUGCUCGAACUGCAGCCAGCAGGUGCUUUUCUUCUCCUCCUCAAGCUUCGGCAAGAAUAUACUACACAUAUAUAGUAGCUGAGAAAGCAUGACAUGCCAUAAUUUGUUGUCCUUUUGUAUCUUCAUACACUGUAUCUUCCUUUUUCAUGACCCAAAAAUAGCUGGGAAAGAAUGACAUCCAUAAUUAAAUCGCAAAAAAAGAAUGACAUCCAUAAUUUGUUUUC